AGGAUGAACGCUGGCGGCGUGCUUAACACAUGCAAGUCGAACGAUGAAGCCGGAGCUUGCUCUGGUGGAUUAGUGGCGAACGGGUGAGUAACACGUGAGUAACCUGCCCUUGACUCUGGGAUAAGCGUUGGAAACGACGUCUAAUACCGGAUACGACGCGCGAAGGCAUCUUCUGCGCGUGGAAAAGUAAUUUUCGGCAAGGAUGGACUCGCGGCCUAUCGGCUAGUUGGUGAGGUAAUGGCCCACCAAGGCGACGACGGGUAGCCGGCCUGAGAGGGUGACCGGCCACACUGGGACUGAGACACGGCCCAGACUCCGUACGGGAGGCAGCAGGUCGGGGAAUAGUUGCACAAGUGGGCG
rnacentral:rRNA from 1 species